GACGAACCGAGCGAACGUUGUUCGGAAUCACUGGGCUUAAAGGGCGCGUAGGCGGGCUGCCGCGUCCGGGGUGAAAGCCUCCCGCUCAACGGGAGAACGGCCUCGGAUACGGGCGGCCUCGAGGGGGGUAGGGGCACCUGGAACUGUGGGUGGAGCGGUGAAAUGCGUUGAUAUCCACAGGAACUCCGGUGGCGAAGGCGAGGUGCUGGACCCCAUCUGACGCUGAGGCGCGAAAGCCAGGGGAGCGAACGGG
rnacentral:rRNA from 1 species